rnacentral:lncRNA from 1 species
UUUUUUAAUAAGAGAGGAAAUGUUACCGAUGGCAAGGUCUUCAAAAGGCCACUUCGCAAACUGAAAAUUUACUUGAAAGCACACAAUCUUUUGCUGGAGACCAGGCUUGGUAUGUUUCUGAUUACACCGGUGACCCUCACCCUGAAAAGCCUUUGUAGAUGGGCCUUUUUUCUAGACAACCUACUGAUGAGCAAAUGAUCUAACAGAUUUCACACCACAUAAAUUUAAGCCUAAUAAAUGGCUUCAAAUUCAGAGCUCCUAAUUCUGGGUUCAGAGAGGUAGUCUUUUUACAAAGGCAAUCAUGUAGACAAUUAAUAAACCCACACACAGCACCGGGAAAGAGUGAAUUCUGUCCCUGUCCCCUGAUCCCCUGUCCCCAAAGUCCAAAUGAUUAGCUCCCGGAAAUGUAGAUUUGCCUUGAGCUCCUCGUAGGGGCAGAAGACAUGUCCGUGCAAGGUCCACUCUGUCCAGGACAGUAGCCACUAGCCACAUGUGGGCUACUUAAAUUUACAUUUGUAUUAAUUAAAAUAGAAAAAAUCCUGUUCUUUAGUUGCACCAGCCACAUUUCAACCGCUCAAUAACCACAUGUUGCUAGGAGCUACUAGAUACAUCACAGAAUAGAAUGCACCCAUCACUGCAGAAAGGUGUGUGGGACAGCGCCGGUCUCUUCUUCAGGCAAAACCUCUCAGGACCCAAACAGCUUCUGUUUUGUCUCAACUAUCAGUAACUGUUACCCUCCGGAACUGGUUUAUUAUAUUAGCCUAGGGGAAGGAUCCUCAGGCAUCUCCACCUCUUCAGCACCUGCGUGUCCCUGGGAGGGAGCUGCUUGCAUGAGCUUCGACUCUGGGUUCGGUUUCCGACUCUGCUGGCUGAUUGCCCUAUUAUUGGAGACAUCAAAUUCCACACAAGGAGGGAACAUGUCUUUGCUUGCCAGAGAUCAAGAUGCCUGCAGCCUCUGCUCCGUCAUUAUUUCAGGGGGGUCCCUACCAGGGCACUCAGGGAGUGAUGGAGCUUCACGCCACGGCAAAGCGACGGGGUGGUUUCCUGAGCUCACUUUCCCAUGCCUCUGCGGUGCUCAUUCUGUUCCCUGUGCCUGGAAUGCCUCUUUAUCUCCGAGUCCUGCCUACCCUUCAAGAUUCAGCUCAAGCCCCACCUUCUCCAGGAAGACUUCCCUGACCACCUGGCCCAGAGGGUUGGCCUCCUCCCCUGCAUCUGGGUGCUCACUGGGCCAGGAGCACGCAGACCUGUGA